CAUCUUCAAGCUGGCCAUUUAUUGACUAAAAACUUUUAUAUUGUAAAUAUUUAUCUUUUUUAUUUCUUUCCUUGUUUACAAGAAAAUAGAUGACUCGAGUGUUACAAACAAUAGUUUUUAAGGAAUAAUGUGAAAUAAGUUAAUUUUUAUUUGGUAAAAAACGUAAUCAACGUGAUAACUUAAUAACAUUAAGUAGUCCUACCUGACACUAACUUAGAUGAUCCUGGAGCAAAGGCUGUAAUUUGACCUGAACCCAAGUUGGUCUCUAUUUUAUUGUCUUGAACCAAUAAGUUAAGAGGACUAACCUUUCUGGACGACAUUGCCAUCGACAUCACUGCAGAUGAGAGAGAAAGAGAGACCAGAGUUGUGGACCCUGGAGGCAAUUACCAUACUGCUGUGAUAAUGUUACUUGGUCUAACCAUAACUUAAGUGAGAACUGAAGCCUACCAGUAAAAUGGGGGCGUUCUAAUUAAUAUCCUCCGACAUUGGAGAAUACAGGGGAGAGGUGCCAGAGGAAGAGGAGAUCGUGGAUGGGGCGAAGUAAAGACUAAGAUUGAAGAGAACUAACUAAUGGCCUGAUGACAGGGUGGAUGGCGAUGGAGGCAUGGAGGUUGGGGGAGAGGAGGCUGAAGAAGUGGAGACAAAUCAGUUUGGAUCCAUUAUGUUGAUUAGUUUAACAUUUAUUUUGAACAUCAGUAUUUACAUUUUUUUCUCAUUUAGAUUAUUAAAUUAAGAUAAUUUUAUUGUUUUUAUGAAGAUUUUUUCUUACAUUUUUAAUAUUUGUUUGUACUUCUGCCUGGUAAAAAAAAUACUGUUUAUUAUGUUUGUUAAAAUGAUUAUUUUUACUAACUUACCUUGUCUUGGGUAACAAGAGAUAUCUUGAUAUUUAACUAGCAGGGUGCCUGUUCUAUGGGCGGGGAUUGUAUAAGUCAGUAGAAACCUUCUUAUAUUUCGAUACUUGGUAAAUUAAUCAUUUCCAACUUUAUAUAGUAUAGAUCGCUAUUCCUGUAUUGAUGUACUGAAAUGAAUAAAAUUAUAUGAAAUGAAA